CGGCUGUAUCGAAUGUUACCGCCUCCUGUCUGCCAUCUACAGCAAGCGUGGCAACUACACCGAGGCGCUGGAUGCUCUGGACAGGGCCCUGCAGCAGAGUCCCAGUGAUCUGACAGUGAGAGCAGAGCUGUACUUUUCCAAAGGAAAUCAGCUCAGGGAGAUGAACCAGCUGGACCAAGCUUUCGAGAGCUACAAGCUGGCUGUCGAACUCAAACCUGACCAGUCCCAGGCCUGGAUGAACAUGGGAGGGAUUCAGCACAUUAAGGGAGACUAUGCAGCAGCCAGGAUGUACUACCAGCGGGCCCUGCUUCUGAGCCCUGCCUCCAGACUUCUAAAAGAAAACUUGGCCAAGCUGGACCGGCUCGAGAGAAGA